rnacentral:rRNA from 1 species
GACGAACGCUGGCGGCGUGCUUAACACAUGCAAGUCGAACGCGCCUGUCCUCUGUGUUUCUGGUGGUUGGGUGAGUGGCGAACGGGUGAGUAACACGUGAGUAACCUGCCCCCUUCUUCGGGAUAACGGUCUGAAAGGGCUGCUCAUACCGGGUAUUCCCUGGUCUCCGCAUGGGGUCUGGUGGUAAGGUUUUUUUCUGGUGGGGGAUGGGCUCGCGGCCUAUCAGCUUGUUGGUGGGGUGAUGGCCCACCAAGGCUUUGACGGGUAGCCGGACUGAGAGGGGGACCGGGAACAUGAGGAGUGAGAUAGGGACCAGAAUACGACGGGAGGCAGCAGGGGGGAAUAUUGCACAAUGGGCGCAAGCCUGAGGCAGCGACGGCGGGAGAGGGAUGGAGGGCGUCGGGUUGUGAACCGCUUUCGCCAGUGGUAAAGCCGCGAAGGGGGUCGGGGUGAGGGUAGUGGGUAAAGAAGCGCCGGCUAACUACGUG